GACCAGCGAGCGGCCUUGAGAGGCUCUGGCUCUUGCUUCUUAGGCGGCCCGAGGACGCCAUGGCCGAGUGCCCGACACUCGGGGAGGCAGUCACCGACCACCCGGACCGCCUGUGGGCCUGGGAGAAGUUCGUGUAUUUGGACGAGAAGCAGCACGCCUGGCUGCCCUUAACCAUCGAGAUACAGGGUCUCGCUCUGUGACCCAGGCUGGUCUUAAACUCCUGGCCUCAAGCGAUCCUCCUGCCUCUGCCUUCCAAAGCACUGGAAUUACAAGUGUGAGCCGCUGCAACCCGCCAGAAAAAAGUGUGCCUUUCAUGGCCCUGUCUGGGUGGCUAGACACGUGUGUGUGCUGGUGGUCCUGGCCCAGCCAGAGUCCCUGAGAGGAGCAUGCAUGGCCUAAGGAAAUAAAGGAUAGGUUACAGUUACGGGUGCUCUUGCGUCGGGAAGACGUCGUCCUGGGGAGGCCUAUGACCCCCACCCAGAUAGGCCCAAGCCUGCUGCCUAUCAUGUGGCAGCUCUACCCUGAUGGACGAUACCGAUCCUCAGACUCCAGUUUCUGGCGCUUAGUGUACCACAUCAAGAUUGACGGCGUGGAGGACAUGCUUCUCGAGCUGCUGCCAGAUGACUGAUGUAUGGUCUUGGCAGCACCUGUCUCCUUUCACCCCAGGGCCUGAGCCUGGCCAGCCUACAAUGGGGAUGUUGUGUUUCUGUUCACCUUCGUUUACUAUGCCUGUGUCUUCUCCACCACGCUGGGGUCUGGGAGGAAUGGACAGACAGAGGAUGAGCUCUACCCAGGGCCUGCAGGACCUGCCUGUAGCCCACUCUGCUCGCCUUAGCACUACCACUCCUGCCAAGGAGGAUUCCAUUUGGCAGAGCUUCUUCCAGGUGCCCAGCUAUACCUGUGCCUCGGCUUUUCUCAGCUGGAUGAUGGUCUUCAGCCUCUUUCUGUCCCUUCUGUCCCUCACAGCACUAGUAUUUCAUGUUGCACACCCACUCAGCUCCGUGAACUUGUGAGAACACAGCCGAUUCACCUGAGCAGGACCUCUGAAACCCUGGACCAGUGGUCUCACAUGGUGCUACGCCUGCAUGUAAACACGCCUGCAAACGCUGCCUGCCGGUAAACACGCCUGCAAACGCUGCCUGCCCGUAAACACGCCUGCAAACGCUGCCUGCCCACACAGGUUCACGUGCAGCUCAAGGAAAGGCCUGAAAGGAGCCCUUAUCUGUGCUCAGGACUCAGAAGCCUCUGGGUCAGUGGUCCACAUCCCGGGACGCAGCAGGAGGCCAGGCCGGCGAGCCCUGUGGAUGAGCCCUCAGAACCCUUGGCUUGCCCACGUGGAAAAGGGAUAGAGGUUGGGUUUCCCCCCUUUUAUAGAUGGUCACGCACCUGGGUGUUACAAAGUUGUAUGUGGCAUGAAUACUUUUUGUAAUGAUUGAUUAAAUGCAAGAUAGUUUAUCUAACUUCGUGCGGAAUCAGCUUCUAUCCUUGACUUAGAUUCUGGUGGAGAGAAGUGAGAAUAGGCAGCCCCCAAAUAAAAAAUAUUCAUGGAUUUAUUUAUUUUCCUUUGGA